rnacentral:rRNA from 1 species
AUGAUGGCCCACGCCUUCGCCAACCUUCAGCUGCAGCAGCCUCCCAGCAGCUCGGAGUGGCUCAUGGACACGGGGGCCACCAGCCACAUCGCCGGCUCGUCGGGUAACCUCACCAAACUCAUCUCCUCUUCAGCGCAUCGUGCUCUUCCUAUAACUGUUGGUGAUGGCUCGACAACCCCCGUAGUUGCUACCGGCUCCACUACUCUCUCCCCCCACCCCUUCCACCUCCAUGACAUCUUAAUUUCCCCGCAAAUUAUCCGCAACUUAAUUUCUGUCUGUCGUUUUACUACGAUAAUUGGUGUAUUGUGUCUUUUGACCCGUUUGGCUUCUCUGUGA